GAGGGCUGCCGAGGCCUCGGGGCUGCCGAAGACGUGAGGAAAAGCUACCUUCAGCAAAAGGUUUUCCUGGAGAGAGAUCUCACUUCUCAGCACCCAAGGCAGAAUGUCCACAACCACUUGUGAAUUCACUUCUGAACUCUGCAGGAACCUGCACUCGCGCAUUUACCUACACAUAAAUUAGUGGAACUAUCUGAAGACCAGGCUGGCCUUGAACUCCGAGGUUUUGCCUGAUUCUGCUCCAGUGUGCUGGGACUAAAGACAUUGGGGGUUGGGGGGGUGUCUAAAUAAAUUUUUUUUAAAAAAA